UCAUUAGUGAAUAUAGGACGUCCAACUUAACUUGGAGUCCGAACUCUCACUUUCUAACCCUGUGCACUUGUUUGGGAUAGUAACUCUCGCAAGAGAGCGAACUCCUAUUCACUUAUAAACACAAAGUCUAUGAAUGUAUUAAAUUUUAUAACAAAAUAAAACUUUCAACAACGGAUCUCUUGGCUCUCGCAUCGAUGAAGAACGCAGCGAAAUGCGAUAAGUAAUGUGAAUUGCAGAAUUCAGUGAAUCAUCGAAUCUUUGAACGCACCUUGCGCUCCAUGGUAUUCCGUGGAGCAUGCCUGUUUGAGUGUCAUGAAUACUUCAACCCUCCUCUUUCUUAAUGAUUGAAGAGGUGUUUGGUUUCUGAGCGCUGCUGGCCUUUACGGUCUAGCUCGUUCGUAAUGCAUUAGCAUCCGCAAUCGAACUUCGGAUUGACUUGGCGUAAUAGACUAUUCGCUGAGGAAUUCUAGUCUUCGGAUUAGAGCCGGGUUGGGUUAAAGGAAGCUUCUAAUCAGAAUGUCUACAUUUUAAGAUUAGAUCUCAAAUCAGGUAGGACUACCCGCUGAACUUAAGCAUAUCAAUAAGCGGAGGAAAAGAAACUAACAAGGAUUCCCCUAGUAGCGGCGAGCGAAGCGGGAAGAGCUCAAAUUUAUAAUCUGGCACCUUCGGUGUCCGAGUUGUAAUCUCUAGAAAUGUUUUCCGCGUUGGACCGCACACAAGUCUGUUGGAAUACAGCGGCAUAGUGGUGAGACCCCCGUAUAUGGUGCGGACGCCCAGCGCUUUGUGAUACAUUUUCGAAGAGUCGAGUUGUUUGGGAAUGCAGCUCAAAUUGGGUGGUAAAUUCCAUCUAAAGCUAAAUAUUGGCGAGAGACCGAUAGCGAACAAGUACCGUGAGGGAAAGAUGAAAAGCACUUUGGAAAGAGAGUUAACAGUACGUGAAAUUGUUGGAAGGGAAACGCUUGAAGUCAGACUUGCUUGCCGAGCAAUCGGUUUGCAGGCCAGCAUCAGUUUUCCGGGAUGGAUAAUGGUAGAGAGAAGGUAGCAGUUUCGGCUGUGUUAUAGCUCUCUGCUGGAUACAUCUUGGGGGACUGAGGAACGCAGUGUGCCUUUGGCGGGGGUUUCGACCUCUUCACAC
rnacentral:rRNA from 1 species